GUAACUACAAACCUCAGGAUUAUAUGCAUGUCAUGUUUUUUGAAGGUCAAUUUGAGAAGUAAAUAACUUCAUUGUGUUGUGUGCUCAGAAUGUAAAGCUAAUCCCAACAAUUGUCAACAAGCGAAAGAAUACUUCCAACGGCACGAACAGCAUCGAAGGUAUGCAUGCGCUGUGUAGACAAAAUAGAAACGCUGGAAAGUAACAAGAAUAGGGAAAACCUUUAAGCUUAUCAUCUGACUUCCUUGCAUGCACUACCAAUGGGCUUGUCAGAUGAUUUGGACAGCAAUUCCUCGCAAACCGAGUCUGUUGCCCCUCUCCAUGUUUUGAAGAGGAUACGGAGGGGUGCCCCAAGAGGUUGCAAGACGUGAUGAUGAAUGAAAAUGCACGGUAAACUGUUGUGUUUUUGUUUAUCUUUCUGCAAACGAGACCUUAUAACAUCAUGUACAGAGUCAUUUUACUUGUGUCCUUUUUCUCUAGAUUUUGGUCAACUUGCAACUCUUGUCUUUUUAUUUGCCUCAUGCCCCUGAUAAAUAUUUAUUUUUUACAGGGCAGCAAAGUUUCCUUCUUGGAACUGUUCCUGGGGUGCUGCAGCAGUUAGAUCAUGAUCGUUCGGCUUAAACAAACUCCAAUAGUUAACCAAAUUCGUGUCUUUAGAUAGCUUCCGUGGCAGUGAAACUAGUGUGUUUGCCAAACGUGGAGAAGUGGGAUCGAAGCUAACCAAAUGUGUGUGUAACUACCAACUAGUGUCUGUCGGUUUUGCCUUGGUAUGCUAUAACUCCCGUUGCACUCAUGGUUGUGCUGUGCUUGUGCAAGUGUAUUCACACAGUGGGCCAAGUCAGUGGUUUGGUAUGUCGUCCGAAAAGCUACAGAGAGUGAUGUCUCUACAACUGCAAGUGAUGAGUGAAUUCCGAACUUAAAGUUUUUGUGUUUGCUAUUGGCAAGUUGUCUGAAUUUGUAAC
rnacentral:lncRNA from 1 species